rnacentral:lncRNA from 1 species
ACGAACUUCGAUUGUGACUAAAUCUAACUAAUUUUGUGAUAAAAUUAAUAACAUUGACUUACCGAUAAUUGCUAAAUUCCAAAAAAAUUGUAAAAGAAUAAUGACAAAUUAUUUGAUCCGGAAGCGUGCGGAGCACUGCCCUAAGGCAUAUUCCCGUCCUUCGUGCGGGAUUAACCAGAAACACCGCCCCAAAAUACGACCAGAAUUCCUCCUCCUACGAGCACGAACGCGGAAGAGGUUGACGAAGCUUCUUUCAACACCCGGCGACGAAAGAAUUAAAUAAAUAAGAGAAAGUGAAAAGCAUAAAACCAAUUCUCAAAAUUUUACUGUAGUUCUUUCUAUACUGUUUUUGUAAAACCUUGUAAACAUCAAUAGUAGACCCCCAAUAAUAUAUAGAGAGGGUCCAAUUUCAGAACGUUGGAGUCCAACGUUCUACUCCACAUAAUUAGCCACCUCUUAAUGAGCUACUUGCGUACUCGCACGUAGCGCAGAGUGCGCAACGACUCUACGCUUCUUGCGCGCGAGCGCAAGCGGAGCGGGGGCUAAAGGAACGUUAUUAAAAAAAAUAAAUAAGCAUUAAUAAAUAAAAUAAAUUAGAUAGUAAAAUAUUAAAUAAACAUUAAAAAAUUUUGAAUUUUCAUUAACAAUCCCCCACAAAAUUCAAAAUCUCGAAAUAGGAAUUAACUCGAAAACAAAAUAAAUAAAUAGAUCACCGGGUGUUUAUACUAUAUAGUAAGUAAGGUGUCCUUAAGAGACUUAACCUCAGUUAGUGUAAAUAGUUUCCAUCAGAAGGAAUCGGAGUGAACCAGAUCUUGAACUACGUUCCUUUGACCCUGACUUCAACUACCACACACACAGUACAGAUAUCUCCAUCGCGGGUCUGUGCGUUAAUGGCCAUGCAUAGUAUCUUGAUUAUUUCAUAAGAGUUUCUAUGGAUAACCCACAUCUCAUAGCCGCGGCCACAUACGGAUAUUCUUAUAUAGGUAGUUUCCUCCAGGGAUGUGUGUAGAGUCACAUCUCGCGAAAAUUAUCGCCUCGAAUCCCAUUAAGAGCUAUAAUCUCAACCUCGACCACUACACAGAGCACUACUCACCAUAGGGAUGGGAUUGGAGCUAAAGCUCCUUUAUAUAAACUGUAGAAAGUGCUCUUUGGCCAACCUAGUAGCUUGUUUUUACCACAUUGAACCUUCUUCAAGGGAUCUCCUAUCACAAAGGUUGGGUUCCCACUGCAGGAAGGCCCUUUACGGGCAAAGUCCCAUCCCCCUCGAUGACUCCAGGACCUUAGUCCUAUUCAGGCCUUUCGUCAAGCAAUCUGCAAGAUUCUGAUCAGAUCUGAUAAAACUCAAAGAAAUAAUAUCAUGAGAAGUUAACCAUCUAACAGACUUUUGUCUCAACUUUAUAUGUCUACUAGCUUUAGAAUUUACCAACUUCUUUUUACAAAAAUCAAUUGCAGCUCGAGAAUCACACCUAAUAGAAAUAGGUGGAAUAGGAAAAAAAAAUCAACGGAAUCAAUGACAGUAGAUUCUUGAGCCACUCGGCUUCAAGACAAGUAGUAUCAAGAGCAACUAACUCAGCCUCCAUAGUACUUCUCGCUAUUAUAGUCUGUUUGGUGGAUUGCCAAGAAACUGCACCUCCACCAAGAAUAAAAAUAUAAUCAGAAGUUGACUUGAUAUCCAAAAAAUCAGAAAGCCAAUUGACAUCGCUGUAUCCCUCAAUUACAGUAGGAUAGCCAACAAAACGAAGAGAAUAAGAGAUAGUACCUUUAAAGUAACGAAAUACUCUUUCCAAAGCAAUCCAAUGAGUUAUACUAGGGUUACUAGUAUAUCUACUCAAUCUCGAUAUGGCAUAAGCAAUAUCAGGUCUAGUUCUAUUGGUUAGGUACAUCAAAGAACAAAUAAUCUGGGUAUAUCUCUCCUGAUUUACAGGAUUACCAGUGUUCUUCACAAGUUGAACACUAGGAUCAAAAGAAGUAGAAACAGGAGUGCAAUCAGAAUAUCCAAAUUUGUCAAGAACCAUUUGGGUAUAUUGAGAUUGGGUCAGAAGAAUAAAAUCUGAUGAUCUAAGAAUUUUCAUUCCUAAAAUCACAUCUGCUUCACAAAGAUCCUUCAUAUCAAAAUGAGUCGAUAAAAAGGAUUUAACUUGGUUAAUCAGAUCAAGAUCAGGCGCAAGGAUCAAGAUGUCAUCAACAUAGAGGCAAAGAAGAACACAUCGGUCGCCAAAUCUCUUAAAAUAGAGACAGUUGUCAAAAUCGUUUGUUUGAAAUCCAUAUGAUUCAAUAACACUGUCGAAUUUUUCGUGCCACUGCUUAGGUGCUUGUUUUAGUCCAUACAAAGAGCGAACUAAUUUACACACCUCAGUUUCUUGACCAGGCACAGAGAAACCUUCAGGUUGAGUCAUAUAGAUUUCUUCUUCAAGAUCUCCAUAAAGAAAAGCGGUUUUGACAUUCAUCUGAUGAAUCAAAAGCUUAUGAAUAGAUGCUAAUGCAAGAAUGACCUGGGUCGUAGCAAUACGAGCAACAGGCGCAUAUGUGUCAAAGUAAUCAACUUCAGCUUUUUGUUGAAAACCUUGAGCUACAAGCCGCGCCUUAUACUUCUCUACCGAUCCGUCAGUUCUAAGCUUCUUUUUAAAGAUCCACUUACAUCCUAAAGGUUGGUUUCCAGGGAGUAAAUCAGUGAGAAUCCAAGUGUUGUUGCCAAUAAUUGACUCGAUCUUACUGUUUAUGGCCUCCUUCCAAAAAGAAGCUUCAGAAGAACUCAUAGCUUCCUUGUAUGAUGACGGUGUACUUUCAACUAAGAAAGUAAAGAAAUCUUCACCAAAGUUUUUCUCAAUGCGAGUUCUCUUGCUUCUUCUCAGUUCGGCUGGUGGGUUAGGUUCUACAGGAUCUAAACUAUAUGAUAAAUCAGAUGCAGAUAAAUGAUCAGAUGUAGAUGCAUGAUCAACUGUAGGCUGAAAAUCAAGUGCAGAUCUAGAGAUAUGGGUUUUGAAAGGAAAGAUAUUUUCAAAGAAGGUUGCAUCUCUAGAUUCAAUCAAGGUAUCAUUGGAAAUCUCAGAAAUCUCAGAGUUGGUUACAAGAAAUCUAUAGGUGUUGCUAUCUAGGGAAUAUCCAAUGAAAAUGGCAUCUACUGUUUUAGGACCAAUCUUCUUUCUUUUGGGUUCAGGAAUAGACACCUUAGCUAAGCACCCCCACACUCGGAAGUAACUCAGCCUAGGUGCUCUUCCCUUCCAAAGUUCAUAAGGUGUCUGAGUUCUAUCCUUAGAAGGAAUCCUAUUGAGGAUAUAACAAGCUGAUAAAAGAGCCUCCCCCCACAAGUUCUGAGAUACACCAGAACUUAAAAUCAUAGCAUUAACCAUGUCUAAUAGGGUUCGGUUCUUUCUUUCAGCUACACCAUUAGACUGAGGUGAGUAUGGAGCAGUUACUUCAUGAAUUAUUCCAUGUUCCUCGCAGAACAGAUUUAAUUCAUUUGAAGUAUACUCGCCUCCUCUAUCAGACCUUAGAAUUUUAAUCCUCUUCUCCAAUUAGUUUUCAGCCUCUGCUUUAAAGGCUUUAAACUUAUUGAGGACUUCAUCUUUGGUCUUCAAGAGAUAAGUGUAACAAAAUUUAGAGUAGUCGUCUAUAAAGGUCACAAAGUAACGACUUCCUCCACGAGUAGGACCUCUAUUGGAAUCACAGACAUCACUAUGAAUCAGUUCAAGAAUCUGGGUAUUCCUAUAAGGAAUAGAUUUAAAAGGUUUUCUAGGCUGCUUAGCUUGGGUACAAAUUUCACAUUUGGAUAUAGGAUCAAUCUUGAAUUUGGGUACAAGGUUAAGAUUGGAUAGUUUCAGAAUAGAUUUAAGGUUCACAUGCCCUAAUCUGCCAUGCCAUAUAUCACAAGAUUAGUAUUCAAAACAACAGUAGAAGAAGUAUAAGAAGAAGAAUUUUUAUUAUCAGCACAAGAAAGUACAUUCAGUUUGAACAAACCCUCAGAUACAAAACCUUUUCCAAUAAACAUUUCUCCUUUAGAUAUUACAACUUUAUUGGAUUCUAAUACAAUCUUAUAUCCUAAUCGCACUAACAAAGAUCCACUAAUCAGGUUCCAUCGGAUUUUAGGAGAAUGCUGCACAUUGUGAAGGAUUAACGUCUUUCCUGAAGUUAACUUCAGCUUGACUGUUCCGAUCUCCAACACAUUGACAGCUUUUCCAUAUCCAACAGUCACACAUCCUCCACUUGUGUCUUGAUAAGAGGAGAAUAGGGACCUAUUAGUGGAAAUAUGGACAUUGGCUCUAGAAUCUAACCACCAAUAUAAAUCAUGAUAGGUAAGGUUAACAUUAGGUACAAAGGAGACUGACAUAAAAUUGGAGUUGGAAGGUUCACCCUCAAUCAUGUUGACCUGAGGUUUAGGAUAGUUGUUCUGAGUGUUUUGGCCCUUCUUGUUGACAACCUUCUCUUUCUUCCGAUAAAAACAUUUUGAAGCAAAAUGGUUGUCACGGCCACAUACAUAACAGAAACCAUCCUUCUUCUUAUUCCCACUAGGUUGGUUGGUAUUGGGUUUUUGGGUAUAGUUCCGAUUUCGAUUAGGGUUCCUACCUUUAAAGCCCUUACCCUUAGGUUUAAAAUUUUUACCUUUGGGUUUAGGCUCAUGGCUCUGGUUCUAAAUCUCGGUCAGGUUUAUGUUUGAUCGGUUGUCGGACAGUUUAAUCUCUCUAAGUCGGUAUUGGUCUUCUAUUCUAAUAGCUUGGAUUAUCGAUCUAAGUUUAAGAGUUUCCUGGGUACGUCUAAGCUCAUGGGCAAAUUUGGUCCAGGAAGGGGGUAAUUUAUCCAAUAGACAGGUUGCCUGAUAGGUUUCGUCUAGAGUUGAUCCAUUUCUAUGAAUCUCUUGGACAAAAUUCUAAAAUUGAUGGAUUUGAUCGUUUAUAGGAAUGUUGUCUACCAUUCUAAAAUUGUUAAAAUCGGUAAUGGUAAAUCUGGCGACACCUUCAUUAUCUCUAAUGUAGGCAUCUUCUAAGGCAAGCCAUAAAUCUUUGGCAGUUUGAUAUUUCCUAUAGGUUUUAUAAAGUUCGUCAGAUAGGCAGUUAAGUAUUCUAAACCUACAUUGAAAUUCAAUUUCCUCGGGAGAUUUGUCAGUUUUAGGUUCUGUAACUGAGGUGGUAGUAGAAUCAGAUGGAGGAGUUUCAAUAGGUGGAUCAGAAGAAUUUUUAGAAGUAGGAUAAUGAGGUGUUUUUCCAAUUGCAGUCAUGAGGCCUAAGGUGAUAAGCCAAGCCUCUAACAGUUCUUGCCACUUCAAAAAACCUACCCCUUUAAAUUUUUCUGGUUUAAGGCUACAAGUAUCAUCAAAACCCAUUCUAACUAAUCUAGUUGAGGGAACAAAGAAAUUAAGGAUGAUUGAAAAGAGCUGCAAAAAAGGUUCAAAAAACUAUUUUAGAAAAACAAACAUGUUGUUUAAGGUUUCUACCCUAGUCAACCAGAAUAUUUUAGGGUUUAAGUUUUUAAAUUUAAUCUUUUAUGAAAGUUCGUUCAGCAACAAAUAGAUGGGCCAAACAAUUUAAAUAUUUGGUUUUAAUUAAAUAAUCUUGAACAGAUAUAUACAAUCAAAUACUAUUUAUGCGGCAAACAGAUUAUGUAUAAACACUGAGACAAAAAAAAUUACAAAUUUAAAUUGGGCUUGUUGGUUGGGCCCAAUUAUUUUGAGCUAACAAGUUAAGGGUUCAAAUUCUACUCAAAGCAGAUUUUUUUUUUUUUUUAAAUAAUAAGGCCGUACAGUGCAGAAUUUUAUUUUAUUUUUUUAAAUCCGUACAAGAAGCAUAAAAGAAUUUACUAAAUCCCACUUGAAACAAUUUUUUUUUUUAAUUAACAGUAGAAGAAAAAAAAAAUUACAAGCAAACUAUAUGCAAAUAGAUUUUAAUAAAAAUGCUAAUCCCAACUUAAAUUAAUUUUUGUAUGUCAAUCAUACAAGCAAGUUAUAAAACAAAUUAUAUACAAUAUGCACAAUUAUUAUUUUCGGAUUAGCACUUGUUAGAUUUUAAUCACAAUCAAAUAGGAUUACGCCUUAGAUUGUUGGGGAACAAACCACAACGAACUUCGAUUGUGACUAAAUCUAACUAAUUUUGUGAUAAAAUUAAUAACAUUAACUUACCGAUAAUCGCUAAAUUUCAAAAAAAAUUGUUGAAGAAUAAUGACAAAUUAUUUGAUCCGGAAGCGUGCGGAGCACUGCCCUAAGGCGUAUUCCCGUUCUUCGUGCGGGAUUAACCGAAAACACCGAUCCAAGUUACGACCGGAAUUCCUCCUCCUACGAGCACGAACACGAAAGAGGUUGACGAAGCUUCUUUCAACACCCGGCGACGAAAGAAUUAAAUAAAUAAGAGAAAGUGAAAAGCAUAAAACCAAUUCUCAAAAUUUUAC